GGUCUGGUGGUGUAAUGGUAACAUACCUGCUUCUUAUGCAGAAGAGUCCUGGUCUUCGGUGGGGGAUCUUUGUUUGAUUCAAGGUCAAGCCA